CUUCAAAUUGUAUCUUCAUUCCCAGUUGUCCUUUUAGGGAAGAGAUAGCAAUAUUGCUAUUGCGCUUCAUUCAAGUCUCUUUGAAGAGUGUUGCAGCCAGCAGCACUCAACGGUCUGGGUAGAAUUGCACCGUGAGAAGCAGUUAUAUCAAUUGUUAGAGGCAAGCUUCCUAGCAUUCCAUUUGAGAGGCCAAUGUCUCUGAGCUCCAUGAGGUUUUUUGAGUAAGAGUUUUAAUCUGAACUCAUUUAGAACUUUAUUUUUUUUAAAUUAGGUCUUUGAUGUGUUCAUGAUCUAAUUUUAAAAAUUGAAAUUUUAAAUGAGUUUAAAUUUGAAGUCUUAUUUCCAGAAACUAAUGAAACUCACAGACUUUGGCCUGUGAAGUAAGUAAAUGUCUCUGUCAGCAGGGUGCUCCUGCUUUGCAGUGUUUGUAGCGCUGCUCAGAUCAAUCAAGAAAGGUUAUGUGUUCCUGCUUUAAGUAGUUUCUCUUUCAUGAGGUACUCCUUUCAUUCUCCAAGAGUUCCUUAAAUUACUGAUCUUUCCUUCUGAUAAAAAUAUUCAAAUUGUUGAUUUUGUUCUCCAGGCAUAGGUCGUUAUUAUUUCUUCAUCUUUUGUGAAUGAGGACAUCAUGAUGUCAUGUGUUGCUGUGUUAUCAAGUUCUUUUCUCAUGAACUAUGGCCUUCUCUGUCCAGGAGUUGCUUAAGUUCAAGAGUCCACCAAAUCCUCUGUGUGACUCCCACUCUACAGACAUUCAUGAAUGUAUGCUACAGUGAACAGACAAAAGAAGUCAGGUAUGCCUUGUGUUAACCCAGA